rnacentral:rRNA from 1 species
AUUGAACGCUGGCGGCAGGCCUAACACAUGCAAGUCGAACGAGUGGCGGACGGGUGAGUAAUGUCUGGGAAACUGACUGAUGGAGGGGGAUAACUACUGGAAACGGUAGCUAAUACCGCAUAACAUCAGAUGUGCCCAGAGGGGAUUAGCUUGUUGGUGGGGUAACGGCUCACCAAGGCGAAGAUCCCUAGCUGGUCUGAGAGGCUGACCAGCCACACUGGAACUGAGCCACGGGCCAGACUCCUACGGUAGUCAGCAGUGUGGAAUAUUGCACAAUGGGCGCAAGCCUGAUGCAGCCAUGCCGCUUGUGUGAAGAAGGCCGUCGGGUUGUAAAGUACUUUCAGCGGGGAGGCGUUACCCGCAGAAGAAGCACCGGCUAACUCCGUGCCAGCAGCAGCGGUAAUAC